GUGCUCUCUUCGGCAGUACCUGUACUAAAAUUCGAAUGACACAAGAUUAGCAUGGCCCCUGUACAAGGACACCAUGCAAAGUCAUGAAGCAUUCCCUAUUUUU
ensembl:snRNA U6 U6 spliceosomal RNA